AGCGUACACGGUGGAUGCCCUGGCAGUCAGAGGCGAUGAAGGACGUGCUAAUCUGCGAUAAGCGUCGGUAAGGUGAUAUGAACCGUUAUAACCGGCGAUUUCCGAAUGGGGAAACCCAGUGUGUUUCGACACACUAUCAUUAACUGAAUCCAUAGGUUAAUGAGGCGAACCGGGGGAACUGAAACAUCUAAGUACCCCGAGGAAAAGAAAUCAACCGAGAUUCCCCCAGUAGCGGCGAGCGAACGGGGAGCAGCCCAGAGCCUGAAUCAGUGUGUGUGUUAGUGGAAGCGUCUGGAAAGGCGCGCGAUACAGGGUGACAGCCCCGUACACAAAAAUGCACAUGCUGUGAGCUCGAUGAGUAGGGCGGGACACGUGGUAUCCUGUCUGAAUAUGGGGGGACCAUCCUCCAAGGCUAAAUACUCCUGACUGACCGAUAGUGAACCAGUACCGUGAGGGAAAGGCGAAAAGAACCCCGGCGAGGGGAGUGAAAAAGAACCUGAAACCGUGUACGUACAAGCAGUGGGAGCACGCUUAGGCGUGUGACUGCGUACCUUUUGUAUAAUGGGUCAGCGACUUAUAUUCUGUAGCAAGGUUAACCGAAUAGGGGAGCCGAAGGGAAACCGAGUCUUAACUGGGCGUUAAGUUGCAGGGUAUAGACCCGAAACCCGGUGAUCUAGCCAUGGGCAGGUUGAAGGUUGGGUAACACUAACUGGAGGACCGAACCGACUAAUGUUGAAAAAUUAGCGGAUGACUUGUGGCUGGGGGUGAAAGGCCAAUCAAACCGGGAGAUAGCUGGUUCUCCCCGAAAGCUAUUUAGGUAGCGCCUCGUGAAUUCAUCUCCGGGGGUAGAGCACUGUUUCGGCAAGGGGGUCAUCCCGACUUACCAACCCGAUGCAAACUGCGAAUACCGGAGAAUGUUAUCACGGGAGACACACGGCGGGUGCUAACGUCCGUCGUGAAGAGGGAAACAACCCAGACCGCCAGCUAAGGUCCCAAAGUCAUGGUUAAGUGGGAAACGAUGUGGGAAGGCCCAGACAGCCAGGAUGUUGGCUUAGAAGCAGCCAUCAUUUAAAGAAAGCGUAAUAGCUCACUGGUCGAGUCGGCCUGCGCGGAAGAUGUAACGGGGCUAAACCAUGCACCGAAGCUGCGGCAGCGACGCUUAUGCGUUGUUGGGUAGGGGAGCGUUCUGUAAGCCUGUGAAGGUGUGCUGUGAGGCAUGCUGGAGGUAUCAGAAGUGCGAAUGCUGACAUAAGUAACGAUAAAGCGGGUGAAAAGCCCGCUCGCCGGAAGACCAAGGGUUCCUGUCCAACGUUAAUCGGGGCAGGGUGAGUCGACCCCUAAGGCGAGGCCGAAAGGCGUAGUCGAUGGGAAACAGGUUAAUAUUCCUGUACUUGGUGUUACUGCGAAGGGGGGACGGAGAAGGCUAUGUUGGCCGGGCGACGGUUGUCCCGGUUUAAGCGUGUAGGCUGGUUUUCCAGGCAAAUCCGGAAAAUCAAGGCUGAGGCGUGAUGACGAGGCACUACGGUGCUGAAGCAACAAAUGCCCUGCUUCCAGGAAAAGCCUCUAAGCAUCAGGUAACAUCAAAUCGUACCCCAAACCGACACAGGUGGUCAGGUAGAGAAUACCAAGGCGCUUGAGAGAACUCGGGUGAAGGAACUAGGCAAAAUGGUGCCGUAACUUCGGGAGAAGGCACGCUGAUAUGUAGGUGAAGUCCCUUGCGGAUGGAGCUGAAAUCAGUCGAAGAUACCAGCUGGCUGCAACUGUUUAUUAAAAACACAGCACUGUGCAAACACGAAAGUGGACGUAUACGGUGUGACGCCUGCCCGGUGCCGGAAGGUUAAUUGAUGGGGUCAGCGCAAGCGAAGCUCUUGAUCGAAGCCCCGGUAAACGGCGGCCGUAACUAUAACGGUCCUAAGGUAGCGAAAUUCCUUGUCGGGUAAGUUCCGACCUGCACGAAUGGCGUAAUGAUGGCCAGGCUGUCUCCACCCGAGACUCAGUGAAAUUGAACUCGCUGUGAAGAUGCAGUGUACCCGCGGCAAGACGGAAAGACCCCGUGAACCUUUACUAUAGCUUGACACUGAACAUUGAGCCUUGAUGUGUAGGAUAGGUGGGAGGCUUGGAAGUGUGGACGCCAGUCUGCAUGGAGCCGACCUUGAAAUACCACCCUUUAAUGUUUGAUGUUCUAACGUUGACCCGUAAUCCGGGUUGCGGACAGUGUCUGGUGGGUAGUUUGACUGGGGCGGUCUCCUCCUAAAGAGUAACGGAGGAGCACGAAGGUUGGCUAAUCCUGGUCGGACAUCAGGAGGUUAGUGCAAUGGCAUAAGCCAGCUUGACUGCGAGCGUGACGGCGCGAGCAGGUGCGAAAGCAGGUCAUAGUGAUCCGGUGGUUCUGAAUGGAAGGGCCAUCGCUCAACGGAUAAAAGGUACUCCGGGGAUAACAGGCUGAUACCGCCCAAGAGUUCAUAUCGACGGCGGUGUUUGGCACCUCGAUGUCGGCUCAUCACAUCCUGGGGCUGAAGUAGGUCCCAAGGGUAUGGCUGUUCGCCAUUUAAAGUGGUACGCGAGCUGGGUUUAGAACGUCGUGAGACAGUUCGGUCCCUAUCUGCCGUGGGCGCUGGAGAACUGAGGGGGGCUGCUCCUAGUACGAGAGGACCGGAGUGGACGCAUCACUGGUGUUCGGGUUGUCAUGCCAAUGGCACUGCCCGGUAGCUAAAUGCGGAAGAGAUAAGUGCUGAAAGCAUCUAAGCACGAAACUUGCCCCGAGAUGAGUUCUCCCUGACUCCUUGA
rnacentral:rRNA from 1 species